UUUUUAUUAAGGGCGGUGUGCAGUAUUCUUUUAAUUAAGGGGAGUGUGCAGGGUUUAAAAAAAUAAAUACAAAAUGCACAGCAUUGAGUAUUAAUAUAAAAACAUGACUAGGCACAAACAAUCCAGCUACAGAAUUUAGUAUUAAAAUGAUUUACACAGUGCCCCUGAUAAUACUGUUAAAUAUGAUCCCAAGCAUGUUUCUGUGACUGCAUUGCUACAUUAUAGUUAUUUUCUAUAUUUUUAAUAAUUUAGUCUAAUUUGUAUUUAACAAAAAAGAAAGAAAGAAUAAAGGCAGCCUAGUCUUGACAGAGCUCAGACAUGUCUGAAGUUAAGGCCAAUUGAUG